UGUUGGCCAAGCAGCAGAAGCUGAUUGAACUGGCUCUCACGCCACUGGUGAGCCUGGUCCACAACUCUAUCUUGCCCUUUCUUUCCAAGCCAGUACCAGGAUCUAACACACAUCAUUUGUCCUACAGAGCUUCUGCAGUAGACCUGUAGUGUCAUUUCUCAGGCACGAAGUCGGCAGAAGGCAGUUUGUCUGUCUCUUUCAUGGCUCACAAGGUGUCCAGCUGAAUCACCAUAAAGUGGGAGCCUCCAACGCCGUGAGCUGUCCCUGUUCUAUGAACUGAGGUUGUCCCAGAGAAAGGGAGAAGUCCAUGAGGGGAUACUGCAUAGCCCUGUGCAUGGAGUUUGCAGAGGAGAACAGCAUCACAAACCCAAAGAUGUGCCUGUCAUGCAAGCUUGUCCAUCUCCAGGAGAAUUGGCACUAUCCUCUGUACCACGUGUGUUGACACCCAAUAAUCUGAUCCUUUAGUACUCUCACAGCUUGAGAAAUCUACCUGUGUCCAUCUUCUGAGCUUGGUUCUGAGGAUCAAGUCUGUCUGUAUGUAUCUUUGUAAGACUUUAGCACUGUUGUUUGUUUUGCCUCUGUGUGUGUGGGGACAUGCACAUCUUUUUUUUUUUUUUUAAAUUUUUUUCUUUCAUUCUCUCUGACCUUACAUAACGAACUUCUGGAGCCAGAGGAAGAGAAAAUUCUUGCAUCACCUGUAGACAUGAAAAUCACCUUCACCAAUGUCAUGUACAAACAAACAGAAAUCAAUGAGAAAUGGAGAGCUUGGAGAGAGGCUCUGACCACUUCAUGCUGCUGCCAGCAGCUCUGGUAAGCCACUUGGACCUGAAGCAAGCACAAGGACAUCUCGUCCAGCCUCCUCAUCCCAGAAGCCACAAAAGCUCCUGCAGGAUGCUAAAACAACCUUGGAGACUUCUGUAGCAAAGACUCAGACUCUUAGGGACUUCACUUGUACCACACCCAGAAAGAAGGAGGACCCUUCUACAUAUUUGGCUCCUACAGUGCAGGCAGGUCAAGGCCAAAGUUGCUGAGAAAUAAAACCAGCCCAUUCCACUGUCCAACAGCCAAAGACAAUAUGAUGGCAAUAGAGAUGCAUCUCAAAUAUUUGGAAACAAGAACUUUCUCCUAAAUUGUACUAAUAAUUUUUCUGCAAGAAGUAAACUUAACUUGUCCUCUUCAUUGGCAGCCGCAGCUUAGGAAGCUUCCCUUGUGUCUUGGUUUGCAUUGUGCUUUCUUCCAGGGCUGGGUAGACAGGUGUAUUUUAAACUGGGAUUAAGAAAGGCAAGACGUCUGAGGUCAAGAAGAUUAGCAGUGAAAUUUUGUUUAGCUAGACAGAUCACUGACUACACUGUACUGCAAGAGCUCCAGUUCAGCUGGCCUGGCCCAGCUGUUGAGGUAACAGGCAGUCUUGCACCU